UCUUGGUAGAACUUCUUCUUGGCAUAUCCCUCAAGAUCAAGUGGCUCUCUUCCACAAGCUAAGUAGUUCACCAAAUCAGCAUACCAAUGCCCUUUCUCUUCAGUUGCCUUCACUUCUUCAAGCUUCUUUCCAGUUUCACAAACUGCUACCACCGCUCCAAUUGCCAUGAUCUGCUCUUCUGGAAGCCCUUCAUCAAUAGGGA
rnacentral:lncRNA from 1 species